GACGAACGCUGGUGGCGCGCCUAACACAUGCAAGUCGAACGAGCGAGAGAGAGCUUGCUUUCUCAAGCGAGUGGCGAACGGGUGAGUAACGCGUGAGGAACCUGCCUCAAAGAGGGGGACAACAGUUGGAAACGACUGCUAAUACCGCAUAAGCCCACAGGUCGGCAUCGACCAGAGGGAAAAGGAGCAAUCCGCUUUGAGAUGGCCUCGCGUCCGAUUAGCUAGUUGGUGAGGUAACGGCCCACCAAGGCAACGAUCGGUAGCCGGACUGAGAGGUUGAACGGCCACAUUGGGACUGAGACACGGCCCAGACUCCUACGGGAGGCAGCAGUGGGGAAUAUUGCACAAUGGGGGAAACCCUGAUGCAGCGACGCCGCGUGGAGGAAGAAGGUCUUCGGAUUGUAAACUCCUGUUGUUGAGGAAGAUAAUGACGGUACUCAACAAGGAAGUGACGGCUAACUACGUG
rnacentral:rRNA from 1 species